rnacentral:tRNA from 1 species
AGCAGGUUAAUCUAUUUAAGAUGUUGGAUUUCAAAUCCAGAAAUGGGGGUAAUAAGCCCCUGCUUGCUG